GCGUAGCGCAGUCUGGUUAGCGCACCUGCCUUGGGAGCAGGGGGCCGGAGGUUCGAAUCCUCUCAGGCGCG
rnacentral:tRNA from 1 species